GAUGAACGCUGGCGGCGUGCCUAAUACAUGCAAGUCGAGCGAACAGACGAGGAGCUUGCUCCUCUGACGUUAGCGGCGGACGGGUGAGUAACACGUGGAUAACCUACCUAUAAGACUGGGAUAACUUCGGGAAACCGGAGCUAAUACCGGAUAAUAUAUUGAACCGCAUGGUUCAAUAGUGAAAGACGGUUUUGCUGUCACUUAUAGAUGGAUCCGCGCCGCAUUAGCUAGUUGGUAAGGUAACGGCUUACCAAGGCAACGAUGCGUAGCCGACCUGAGAGGGUGAUCGGCCACACUGGAACUGAGACACGGUCCAGACUCCUACGGGAGGCAGCAGUAGGGAAUCUUCCGCAAGGGGCGAAAGCCUGACGGAGCAACGCCGAGUGAGUGAUGAAGGUCUUCGGAUCGUAAAACUCUGUUAUUAGGGAAGAACAAAUGUGUAAGUAACUAUGCACGUCUUGACGGUACCUAAUCAGAAAGCCACGGCUAACUACGUG
rnacentral:rRNA from 1 species